rnacentral:rRNA from 1 species
AGAGAAGGAGCUUGCUCCUUUGACGUUAGCGGCGGACGGGUGAGUAACACGUGGGCAACCUACCUUAUAGUUUGGGAUAACUCCGGGAAACCGGGGCUAAUACCGAAUAAUCUAUUUUACUUCAUGGUGAAAUACUGAAAGACGGUUUCGGCUGUCGCUAUAAGAUGGGCCCGCGGCGCAUUAGCUAGUUGGUGAGGUAACGGCUCACCAAGGCGACGAUGCGUAGCCGACCUGAGAGGGUGAUCGGCCACACUGGGACUGAGACACGGCCCAGACUCCUACGGGAGGCAGCAGUAGGGAAUCUUCCACAAUGGGCGAAAGCCUGAUGGAGCAACGCCGCGUGAGUGAAGAAGGUUUUCGGA